rnacentral:tRNA from 1 species
GGAUUGUGGCUCAGUGGUAGACUGCUUGCCUAGCAUGUGUGAGGCACUGUGUUCAAUUCUCAGCACCA